UUGCCCACCCAAUUUGAGGGAAUUCAGUAAUUAAUUAAGUACAACUUCCAGUUUUAUUUUAUUUUGAUGUUUAGAGGACGCAUAGUUUACCAAGGUCGCGAAGUAACCUCAGCAAUGGCGACAAGUGCUUCUGUGCUUGGUAAUCUUUCUCGCUUAUUUAUCGACUUGCAGUUGGUUAUUUCAAACAUAUUAAAUUUGCCAAAUAUAAAAAUAUCUGAUAUUCGACUCACAAAAAGUAGGGGCUUUCUGAUAAUUGAAGUUAUUGAUCAUCAAGUUGUGAUUUUUUCUACACCAGUUCUUUUUCAAUUUGUUCAUUGUGCUCCUUUGGGGAUAUGUUAUCUGCUACAGAAUAAAGGUUAAGAUUAUCUCUUACCUCUUGAGGUUCGACUAAUGAUUUCAUCAGUUGGCCAUGAGGAAAUAGUUAGCGGUUGUUCAUCACAAGUUGGACUCUGGUCUCUGUUUGUUUGUUGGGGAUUUCUUUUAAUUAUAUUUUCUUCUUCUUUUUGGUAUAUAUCAAGAUGUGCAUUCUUAACGUUUUAUAUAAAAGGGUCAUUAGUUUUCCAUUUUUCCUCCUUUAAGUAAUGAAUUGGUCGGAAGGGAAUCAUAACAAGCAUGUAAAUGAAAUUGCUUUCACUAUACUUAGUGUUGGCAUCAGAAAGCUUGAUAAAGCUUGGAGUAUUAAAAAUGGUUCUCCGAUGUUACGCAAUCCAGAACCAUUAUUUCUUGCAGAUACAAGAAAAGAAGUACAAGAUAGGCAAACGAAAUACAUGAGUAUUCAAUAAGAAGUCAUCCUUCUUUAUUUUCUUGCAGAUGCUCUUUGUUUUCCUCCUGUCUUUUAAUUGAUGCUGUCCACAGAAAGGAAAAGAAAAAGCGGAAAAAGAUUUUAAGUCAGAAAAGAAAUUUUUUAAUAGUGAAUUAAACUUUUGUCUAAAUGCAUAAAAAGAGUAACUUACAUAUCACAGUUAACAGUUCUGGAGACAGGGGUAUCCAUAGUGACACCACACUUGGUGGGAAGAGCUUGAGCUGCAUCGUCUUUAAGGUUCGCGUACCUAUUAGCAGCAGCCUUGACACAAUUGCAAGCUGUCCUUUUGUCAGCUGUGGUUUGAGCCAAUUCUUUUAGGCUUUUCACCCCACUGCAGCAAGCUGAACUUGGAUCACCGCCCUGAGUAAGGUAAGGGAUACAUGGUGCUAAAGAAGCGUCCACUUGACCACAGGUAAGAGCUUGUCCUGGCUCAAACAUGAGCUGAAUCAUGGCCAACACUGCAAUGGCAAUGAUGAUUCCCUUCAUCUUUUCUUCAGUUUUUGUGUAAGAAAAAAGAUAGUUUUAAGGUGGAAAGUGAGGCAGGUGUUUUUCUCUGGAUUCUUGAUUAGCCGUGUUGAUGACUAGCCAGUGUCUUAGGAGGGUAUAUAUAGGAAUAUGAAAAGUGCUAAGAAAAGUAAGUUGUUCUUUGCUGUGGUAAUAUCAGUUAUCUCUUUUCGGAUUUUUGUUUCCUUGUUAUGUCAUUUCCUGAUUUGUUUCAGAAGAAAGGAACAAAUAGUCUUACAUGUUAUGAUAGUUCUUUGCAGGUAUUGAUGAUGCUCACCUUUCUCUACUAGUGGUGCUUAGGGAUAAAAGAACUCAAC
rnacentral:lncRNA from 1 species